AUACGUAGGGGGCGAGCGUUGUCCGGAAUGAUUGGGCGUAAAGGGCGCGUAGGCGGCGCGGUAAGUCUGGAGUGAAAGUCCUGCUUUCAAGGUGGGAAUUGCUUUGGAUACUGCCGCGCUUGAGUGCAGGAGAGGUUAUCGGAAUUCCCGGUGUAGCGGUGAAAUGCGUAGGGAUCGGGAGGAACACCAGUGGCGAAGGCGGGUAACUGGACUGCAACUGACGCUGAGGCGCGAAAGUGUGGGGAGCAAACAGGAUUAGAUACCCUGGUAGUCCACACUGUAAACGAUGAAUGCUAGGUGUAAGAGGUAUCGACCCCUUUUGUGCCGGAGUCAACACAAUAAGCAUUCCGCCUGGGGAGUACGGCCGCAAGGUUGAAACUCAAAGGAAUUGACGGGG
rnacentral:rRNA from 1 species